rnacentral:rRNA from 1 species
AUGAAGAGUUUGGCUGACAAGUGUGUGCUGGCCUACAAUGAGGCUGAGAAGUGCAAGUCUCUUGGCCGUCCUGGCAUUGACCCCAGAAUGGCUGCAAAGAAGAAGAAGCUAUCAACUGCUCAAUCUGCACCUUCAUGGCAGGAAGCACCUCGCAUUAUUUUACCAAGCAGCAUGACUAGUUCGAAGCCAAAGGUCAUGUCAACCGCUUCAGAACAGAAGAAGACAAGGGCUGCCGAGGCUGAAGCCAGAAAAAGGAAGAAUACUGAAGCCUCUGAUGCUGCUCCCUCCAAUAAGAAGUGCAAAACCAAGAAGAAUCGGGCUGCUCCCACAGAGCCCUUAGUUGUUGAACCUAUCUCAGUGGUUCGCCUUGCAUCUGAACAUCAAGAAUGA